AUUUAAAUAGUUACUAUAACACUAUUGACUGAAGUGGUCAUGGUGGUUCGAGUGUUCCUUUAAGUGACUUCAACUGUCGAAUAAUUGUUGGUGCCAAAUGUGUAAUAUUUCAGAAACUGCUGAUCUCAUAUGAUUUUCACACUCCAGUCUGUAGAGUUUAAUGCAACAAAAAAAAUGUAACGAGUUUGCGGCGCUUGUGGGUUUUUCAGCACCCUCUUCAAUCCAUUUUUUUUUUUUAAAUCUAGUUUUUCUGGGGUAAAAAGCGUUUACUACCCAGCUUAAGUGUUUUGCAGCUCCUUCUACUAAAAGUUAG